rnacentral:snRNA from 1 species
AGCUUUAGGCAGUGGUGUAUCAUAGCCAAUGAGGUUUAUCCAAUGGCUAAUUGAAAAAUUUUCCCAUACCCUGCCGUGAUGACUUGCAAUAUAGUUGGCACUGGCAAUUUUUGACAGUCUCUAUGGAGA